UGGCUCAGAUUGAACGCUGGCGGCAGGCCUAACACAUGCAAGUCGAGCGGUAGCACGGGGAGCUUGCUCCUGGGUGACGAGCGGCGGACGGGUGAGUAAUGUCUGGGGAUCUGCCUGAUGGAGGGGGAUAACUACUGGAAACGGUAGCUAAUACCGCAUAACGUCGCAAGACCAAAGAGGGGGACCUUCGGGCCUCUUGCCAUCAGAUGAACCCAGAUGGGAUUAGCUAGUAGGUGGGGUAAUGGCUCACCUAGGCGACGAUCCCUAGCUGGUCUGAGAGGAUGACCAGCCACACUGGAACUGAGACACGGUCCAGACUCCUACGGGAGGCAGCAGUGGGGAAUAUUGCACAAUGGGCGCAAGCCUGAUGCAGCCAUGCCGCGUGUAUGAAGAAGGCCUUCGGGUUGUAAAGUACUUUCAGCGAGGAGGAAGGCAUUAAGGUUAAUAACCUUGGUGAUUGACGUUACUCGCAGAAGAAGCACCGGCUAACUCCGUGCCAGCA
rnacentral:rRNA from 1 species